rnacentral:rRNA from 1 species
AGGACGAACGCUGGCGGCGUGCUUAACACAUGCAAGUCGAGCGGUAAGGCCCUUUCGGGGGUACACGAGCGGCGAACGGGUGAGUAACACGUGGGUGACCUGCCCUUAGCUCUGGGAUAAGCCUGGGAAACUGGGUCUAAUACCGGAUAUGACCUCGCGAUGCAUGUCGUGGGGUGGAAAGCCUUGUGCGGCUAGGGAUGGGCCCGCGGCCUAUCAGCUUGUUGGUGGGGUGAUGGCCUACCAAGGCGACGACGGGUAGCCGGCCUGAGAGGGCGACCGGCCACACUGGGACUGAGACACGGCCCAGACUCCUACGGGAGGCAGCAGUGGGGAAUCUUGCGCAAUGGGCGAAAGCCUGACGCAGCGACGCCGCGUGAGGGAUGACGGCCUUCGGGUUGUAAACCUCUUUCAGCCCUGACGAAGCGAAAGUGACGGUAGGGCGAGAAGAAGCGACCGGCCAACUACGCGCCAGCAGCCGCGGUAA